rnacentral:rRNA from 1 species
GAUGAACGCUGGCGGCGUGCCUAAUACAUGCAAGUCGAGCGAACGGACGAGAAGCUUGCUUCUCUGAUGUUAGCGGCGGACGGGUGAGUAACACGUGGAUAGCCUACUUAUAAGACUGGGAUAAUUUCGGGAAACCGGAGCUAAUACCGGAUAAUAUUUUGAACCGCAUGGUUCAAAAGUAAAAGACGGUCUUGCUGUCACUUAUAGAUGGAUCCGCGCUGCAUUAGCUAGUUGGUAAGGUAACGGCUUACCAAGGCAACGAUGCAUAGCCGACCUGAGAGGGUGAUCAGCCACACUGGAACUGAGACACGGUCCAGACUCCUACGGGAGGCAGCAGUAGGGAAUCUUCCGCAAUGGGCGAAAGCCUGACGGAGCAACGCCGCGUGAGUGAUGAAGGUCUUCGGAUCGUAAAGCUCUGUUAUUAGGGAAGAACAUAUGUGUAAGUAACUGUGCACAUCUUGACGGUACCUAAUCAGAAAGCCACGGCUAACUACGUG